rnacentral:RNase_P_RNA from 1 species
UAUGCAAGCCGUCCUAUCGCUAUUCUGUUUUGGCAGAGUGGAGGAAAGUCCGGGCAGCACAGAGCAGCGUACUUCCUAACGGGAAGGCUAUGAACGGGCAACUGGUUAUAGACAGAUAGUGCCACAGAAAAUAUACCGCCAGAUUCUGGUAAGGGUGAAAUGGUGGAGUAAGAGCCCACCGCAUUGAUGGUGACACCAAUGGCAGGGUAAACCUUACGCGCUGAAAGACCAAAUAAGCUGGCGAUGUAAGUAGUGCAUACCCUGUACUACGUAUGAAAGGGCUGCUCGCCCGAGUCAGUGGGUAGGUCGUUAAAGGCCAAUGGUGACGUUGGUUCAAGAUAAAUGAUAGGAGUCUGAAUCUAUUCAGAACACAGAACCCGGCUUACAGGCUUGCAUAAUUU